rnacentral:rRNA from 1 species
ACGACGCUGGCGGCGUGCUUAACACAUGCAAGUCGAACGAGACGAUUGAAAGCUUGCUUUGAGAGUCGAGUGGCAAACGGGUGAGUAACGCGUAGACAACCUGCCGCAAAGAUGGGGACAACAGUCCGAAAGGACUGCUAAUACCGAAUGUUGUCAAGUUUCCGCAUGGGAGCUUGAUUAAAGAUGGCCUCUACUUGUAAGCUAUCGCUUUGCGAUGGGUCUGCGUCUGAUUAGCUGGUUGGUGGGGUAACGGCCUACCAAGGCGACGAUCAGUAGCCGGUCUGAGAGGAUGAACGGCCACAUUGGAACUGAGACACGGUCCAGACUCCUACGGGAGGCAGCAGUGGGGAAUCUUCCGCAAUGGGCGAAAGCCUGACGGAGCAACGCCGCGUGAGUGAAAGAAGGGUUUCGGCUCGUAAAGCUCUGUUGAUGGGGACGAAUGUGCGAAAUGCGAAUAGUUUUUCGCAAUGACGGUACCCGUCGAGGAAGCCACGGCUAACUACGUGCCAGCCGCGGC